AGCUCCAAUAGCGUAUAUUAAAGUUGUUGCAGUUAAAAAGCUCGUAGUUGGAUCUCGGGUGCAGGCUGGCGGUCCGCCUCGCGGCGGGUUUCUUCCACGGUUUCUGCUCCCCACCCCCCCGGUUUAAAAGUUUCUUAACUUUUUCCCGCAGUGCUCUUUUCUGAGUCGCCCGGGGGGGCCGGAACGUUUACUUUGAAAAAAUUAGAGUGUUCAAAGCAGGCGCGUCGCCUGAAUACUGUUGCAUGGAAUAAUAGAAUAGGACCUCGGUUCUAUUUUGUUGGUUUUCGGAAGUCGAGGUAAUGAUUAAUAGGGACGGCCGGGGGCAUUUGUAUUGCGGCGUUAGAGGUGAAAUUCUUGGAUCGUCGCAAGACAAACUACAGCGAAGGCGUUUGCCAAGAAUGUCUUCA
rnacentral:rRNA from 1 species